rnacentral:tRNA from 1 species
UGGUCGAUGGCGAAGGCGUGCCACGACGGGCUGGCACCCAGUCCCGGAUCGGCGAAUGUACUGAGGUGCCGGAUCGGCACCGUCUUGGCCAAC